ACAGCAUGGACUGGUGCGUCAACGCGAGGAAGGUCGCCUUGAGGAGCAUCGAAUCCAGGGGCCUCGCCCAGUCCAUGGAAGCCAUGGUCACUGGGAAGAGGAAGAAGGCCAGGAAGCCCAAGAAGGUCAGCGGGGAGAACAGUAAGAAGACCCGGAAUAAGAACGAGCUCGAAGACGAAUCGGAAGAUCUCGACCUGGAGGAGAUGGGCUUUGAGAGAAGCUCCGGCGACCUCGAGCAGAGGGUGAGCAUGAUUGCCGACGGGAUGUUCGAAGAGAUGAAGGAGAAGACCAGGGAGGCCUUCAUAGAGAAGCUUUCCCAGUUCUCC
rnacentral:lncRNA from 1 species